rnacentral:rRNA from 1 species
GCCAGAGCCAUUUCUCCCUGCAGCUCUCACCAUGUUUCCCACUCAAGCUAAGCAGGGUUGUGCCUGGCCAGUACCUGGAUUCCCUCCUGGGGAAAACUAAGGUUGCUGCUGGAA